rnacentral:rRNA from 1 species
GACGAACGCUGGCGGCGUGCUUAACACAUGCAAGUCGAACGGAAAGGCCCUGCUUUUGUGGGGUGCUCGAGUGGCGAACGGGUGAGUAACACGUGAGUAACCUGCCCUUGACUUUGGGAUAACUUCAGGAAACUGGGGCUAAUACCUGAUAGGAGCUCCUGCUGCAUGGUGGGGGUUGGAAAGUUUCGGCGGUUGGGGAUGGACUCGCGGCUUAUCAGCUUGUUGGUGGGGUAGUGGCUUACCAAGGCUUUGACGGGUAGCCGGCCUGAGAGGGUGACCGGCCACAUUGGGACUGAGAUACGGCCCAGACUCCUACGGGAGGCAGCAGUGGGGAAUAUUGCACAAUGGGCGGAAGCCUGAUGCAGCAACGCCGCGUGCGGGAUGAAGGCCUUCGGGUUGUAAACCGCUUUCGCCUGUGACGAAGCGUGAGUGACGGUAAUGGGUAAAGAAGCACCGGCUAACUACGUG